CCUCUGUUAACGUUAUAAAAUUUAAAUUUACAGGUAGUACAGAAUAUUCAUAAGAAAAACACAGUUAGAAAGGUUUUUUUAUGAUCGCACCGCAAUGGUGUAUCAGGAUGGCAUUUAAUUGGUAAACCGAACACAUAAUAUUAUUAUAAUUGCUCAUAUGGUCAGCUGGAAUUAUUUUUCCAUAUCAGUCGAGAUGCCCUUGACCAGUUGUUGCAAGAAUUUAUUUGCUUGAUCCCGGAAUCUUCUUCCCGUUGGCAAACGUCGAUGUUGCCGCUACUCUGAUUGUAAAUUAGGACGUAUUUGUACGCACAGAAAAAUCCAGCAUAAUGGAUUGUAAAGAACCCAUAGUCAAAUGCCUUUAUCCCACGUUGAGAUAAUCAGUCUGCUUACGAGGUUAGCGGAAGAGGAAUGCCUUGUGAUAAUGCCGAAUUCAAGCAAAACAAAAUCUAUAAAAGAGUCUCCUCCCCUACAAGCUUCGCAUUCAACCAAGUCAGAUAUCACCAAAAGUUUUCGGGAGAGUUUACAGAGACGAGGGGCUCAACGACGGAAAACAAAAGAAAUACAAUGGACUCUGGAGUAUUUCCUGCGUAACCUUGACAUGGAAGACAAAAAGUUGCGAAUGGACCAGCUUAUCGUGCUGUUCGACGAAUUUGACGAAGUUUUCGAUUUUGGAGACGACGAAUUAAUGCAACUCGAUCUGAAGCAAUGGAUUCAAGACUCGCUAGAUCCCGAAAAAGAGGAGAAUAUUAUUAUACGAGAGGCUGUAAUAACAAGAAUACGCCACAUCUUUCCUGAACUUGUCUGCGUAAAGGUUACCGAACUAUAAGUCAGCAGGUCAAUAAUUAUUCAUCUGUGCUUGCUGAAGAUUAACGUUUUAUUUAUUAAAAACUGGUGUUGUUUAAAAAACAUUAAUUAAAUUAUAAGUCAUUUUUGAGUUUUAGUUGCAGUUGUUUUUAUGAUUACGCAAACGCUAUCUGCGAUCUCAAAAUCAAUUUUAAUAAUUUUGGCAUUGGCAGUUUGUGUCUAAGGCACCAGCGACCGCUUAAACGGUAGUAAGGAUUAGAUUCAACUUCAUAACAUACAAAUAAAAAAAAACGAAAAAUCAUACACAACAGGUACAACAACGCAUACAUAUUACGGAAUCGGGUCAAAAUUACAAGGGUAGUGUGUGUACUACACUAACGCUCACAGACAACAAUACUUCCAUAGGAAUCAAUAGUGUAAACCAUUGCAAAAAAACUCCUUCAGAAAUUCUCACGCAUAAAAUACAUUAUACACAACCAUCCUUUAUCCGGCCCAGAGCCACUCUCCAGCUGCUCCAGUCCACCGGGAGAAACGAGCACCACUUGCCAGAGGUCAAUCGCACUCUGGGACAAAACAGGGAACCGUCUGCCAACAGCCAACAUCCCGGUACGGCAUCCAUAUUCCCCUCCAUCGAAAGACAAA